AUAAUAUAUAUCAACCUUCUUCUUGUUGGAGAGGUGUUUGGAUGUGGGGGGUUUGCUGGCCUCUUAAAAAGGUUCAGCUCCUCUGAAAUGCAUUAGCAGAACAACCUGUUCAUUGGCGUGAUAACUAUCUACGCUAUUGAAUGUGAUGGGGCAAGUUCAGCUUUCUAACAGUCUUUGGACAAUUCAUCAUUA
rnacentral:misc_RNA from 1 species